rnacentral:rRNA from 1 species
GAUUCGUCACACUAUCAUUAACUGAAUCCAUAGGUUAAUGAGGCGAACCGGGGGAACUGAAACAUCUAAGUACCCCGAGGAAAAGAAAUCAACCGAGAUUCCCCCAGUAGCGGCGAGCGAACGGGGAGGAGCCCAGAGCCUGAAUCAGCAUGUGUGUUAGUGGAAGCGUCUGGAAAGGCGCGCGAUACAGGGUGACAGCCCCGUACACAAAAGCGCAUGUGCUGUGAGCUCGAUGAGUAGGGCGGGACACGUGGUAUCCUGUCUGAAUAUGGGGGGACCAUCCUCCAAGGCUAAAUACUCCUGACUGACCGAUAGUGAACCAGUACCGUGAGGGAAAGGCGAAAAGAACCCCGGCGAGGGGAGUGAAAAAGAACCUGAAACCGUGUACGUACAAGCAGUGGGAGCACAGGUUUACCUGUGUGACUGCGUACCUUUUGUAUAAUGG